AAAGAUUUAUCGCCUAGAGAGGAGCUCGCGUCCGAUUAGUUAGUUGGUGGGGCAAGAGCCUACCAAGACAGCGAUCGGUAGCUGGUCUGAGAGGAUGACCAGCCACACUGGGACUGAGACACGGCCCAGACUCCUACGGGAGGCAGCAGUGGGGAAUUUUCCGCAAUGGGCGAAAGCCUGACGGAGCAAUACCGCGUGCGGGAGGAAGGCCCUUGGGUCGUAAACCGCUUUUCUCAGGGAAGAAGUUCUGACGGUACCUGAGGAAAAAGCCUCGGCUAACUCCGUGCCAGCAGCCGCGGUAAUACGGAGGAGGCAAGCGUUAUCCGGAAUUAUUGGGCGUAAAGCGUCCGCAGGUGGUAUUGUAAGUCUGCUGUUAAAUACGGAAGCUCAACUUCCGAUAGGCAGUGGAAACUGCAAAACUAGAGUACAGUAGGGGUAGAGGGAAUUCCCAGUGUAGCGGUGAAAUGCGUAGAGAUUGGGAAGAACACCGGUGGCGAAAGCGCUCU
rnacentral:rRNA from 1 species